rnacentral:rRNA from 1 species
CGGUGGAGCAUGUGGUUUAAUUCGACGCAACGCGAGAACCUUACCUGGGUUUGACAUCUCGGGAAUCUUGUGGAAACACGAGAGUGCCCUUCGGGGAGCCCGAAGACAGGUGCUGCAUGGCUGUCGUCAGCUCGUGUCGUGAGGUGUUGGGUUAAGUCCCGCAACGAGCGCAACCCCUAUCUCUAGUUGCCAGCGAUUCGGUCGGGGACUCUAGAGAUACUGCCCCGGUUAACGGGGAGGAAGGUGGGGAUGACGUCAAGUCCUCAUGGCCCUUAUGUUCUGGGCUACACACGUGCUACAAUGGCCGGUACAGACGGAGGCGAAGCCGCGAGGCGGAGCAAAUCCGAAAAAGCCGGUCUCAGUUCGGAUUGCAGGCUGCAAUUCGCCUGCAUGAAGUCGGAAUCGCUAGUAAUCGCAGGUCAGCAUACUGCGGUGAAUACGUUCCCGGGCCUU